rnacentral:rRNA from 1 species
CUCACUGAUAAAAUUAAAGAGCCGCGGUAUAUUGACCGUGCAAAGGUAGCAUAAUCAUUAGUUUUUUAAUUGGAAACUUGUAUGAAUGGUUGGACAAAAGAAAAGCUGUCUUUAUAAUAAAUAUUGAAUUUAACUUUUAAGUGAAAAGGCUUAAAUAAUUUAAAGGGACGAUAAGACCCUAUAAAACUUUAUAUAGUAGUUAAAUUUAAGUGAAUUUUAAAAGUUUAAUUUAAUGUAAUAUUUUAUUGGGGCGAUAAAAGUAUAAAUUAUAGUAACUGCUUGAAAAAUAAACAAUAAUGUUUGGAUGAGAAUAAAUGAUCCUUUUUAAAGAAUAAAAGACUAAGUUACUUUAGGGAUAACAGCGUAAUUUCUUUUGAGAGCUCAUAUCGAAAAAGAAGAUUGCGACCUCGAUGUUGAAUUAAAAUGUCUGUUUAGGGCAGCCCUUAAAUAAGAAGAUCUGUUCGAUCUUUAAAAUUKUACAUGAUUUGA